UACGGAGGGGACUAGCGUUGUUCGGAAUUACUGGGCGUAAAGCGCGCGUAGGCGGAUUUGCAAGUCGGGGGUGAAAUCCCGAGGCUCAACCUCGGAACUGCCUUCGAUACUGCAAAUCUCGAGUCCGGAAGAGGUGAGUGGAACUCCGAGUGUAGAGGUGAAAUUCGUAGAUAUUCGGAAGAACACCAGUGGCGAAGGCGGCUCACUGGUCCGGUACUGACGCUGAGGUGACGAAAGCGUGGGGAGCAAACAGG
rnacentral:rRNA from 1 species